rnacentral:rRNA from 1 species
AUGUGCUGCCUGCUUGCCUUUGGCUGUAGAACUAUAUGUAGGCACGUCAAACAAAUAAAAUCACACAUCACGUUCCACAGGGAGGAAAUAGGCAGAGCUGAUCGGAAGAAAAAUUGUGCUGCCUUUUAUGGUGGUUUUAACCAGUUGAAGGGUUUACUCCAAACUGGUGCUGAUCCGAGGAACACCGAGUUGACGAGGCGACCUUCUUUGUGGGCACGAAGCGCCAUGGGGGAGCUUGGUAGAGUGCAUAGUUGCACAUUAGUACUUCUACAUGGAAACACAAACUGCUCUAGCCAUACAUGA